rnacentral:tmRNA from 1 species
AUGACCCACGUCUGGGGGUGACUCGCUAAAACCUAAACCAGAAUCGCUCUUUCACAUGCCCUGCCGGCCGGGCGGUGAAAAGUUAAAUAUAAUAGACCGAACUAAGCAUGUAGAGCCGAUAGCAGCGGACUGACGGACGCGGGUUCAAUUCCCGCCGCCUCCACCA